GCUAGAAUGGUGUAAUGGUCUGAGCACUGGACUAUGACUCUGGAGACCAGGGUUUGAAUCCCAGCUAGACCA